AGGUAAAAGGCAGCUAUUUGUGAUUACAAGAUGGAGAAAGCCUCGUACAAGCCAUGGAUCUUCUUAUUGCUUAUUGCACUUGGUUCUGUCUCUCUCUUUCUGUAUAUAUUCUCUAGUUGGGUCUUAUUUUCUUAUAAUAUAUAUGACAUGGUUGUGUUUGUCUGUGGGUGAAUGGAUGGCAGGUUUGGUGUUGGAAGGUUGUGAGGGAAGAGAGCUGGCGGAAGGCUGCAGUCUUAAUAAAGACUGCAGUGGGCGUUGUGACUGUCCAUUUUGUGUUUGUUUCGAGCAUCAACGAUGUGUUUGCUCCACUCAGCAAGACUUCACUGCUGACGCCUUGAUUGGAGGAGAGACAUAGGCAGAGCCAUAGCCAUAGCCUUAGACUUAUGAUUAUUUACUAAAUAAGUUUGAAUCUUCCCCUUCCCUUGACUGGUACUGUACUCGUUGAGUGAUGAAUUAAUAAAGACAAUAACUGGCACAAAUUUACUUAUCUUGCAAGCUUUUGCUUUUUCUUUCCCUU
rnacentral:lncRNA from 1 species